AAGCUUAUAGCUCAGUGGUAGAGCAGACCGCUCAUAACGGUUUUGUCGUAGGUUCGAUCCCUACUUAGCUUA
rnacentral:tRNA from 1 species